rnacentral:rRNA from 1 species
GACGAACGCUGGCGGCGUGCUUUAUGCAUGCAAGUCGAGGGAGAACCAGUUGGUCCGUAAGGAUUGGCUGGGGAAACCGGCGAACGGGUGCGUAACACGUGAGGAACCUGCCCUGGAGACCGGGAUAGCCCGAGGAAACUCGGAUUAAUACCGGAUACUCUCAUCGGACCGCAUGAUCUGAUGAGGAAACAGUCCGCUGCUCCAGGAUGGCCUCGCGGCCUAUCAGCUUGUUGGUGAGGUAACGGCUCACCAAGGCUUCGACGGGUAGCUGGUCUGAGAGGACGAUCAGCCACACUGGGACUGAGACACGGCCCAGACUCCUACGGGAGGCAGCAGCAGGGAAUAUUGCACAAUGGGCGAAAGCCUGAUGCAGCGACGCCGCGUGCGGGAUGAAGGCCUUCGGGUUGUAAACCGCUUUCAGGAGGGACGAAAAUGACGGUACCUCCAGAAGAAGGCCCGGCCAACUACGUG